CGAAACCUUUAUUCAUCUAAAAACUCAAAAUUGACUUUUCUUCCGAUGGUAAUAGCUCUGGAUGCCAUGGAUACCCGAGUCAGAACAGUGGUCGAUGAGAAGGGGGCUGAUCAAGCUGAGCCUCUAUGUUGCUUCUUCUUGGAACAGGUCUUGCUUGGUGCCACUGCCCAUCGCUUCCUUGUCUCGGCUGUGCGAGAUUUAGGUGCCAUGACUCGGAGAUCCCAAGGGUUUGAGCGUCGGACAAGGGGGAAAGAUGGGAUUUUUUUUGAGAGAUUAGGGUCAGAGCUGGAAAAUGUUCGGAGUGAGCAAGCUUGGAUGAAGAAGGAAUAGGAUUUUUGGAA
rnacentral:lncRNA from 1 species